GCCCAGACCCUCCACCCCCCGAUCUGCUGUAGACCAGCAGCUGCGCAUGACCACAUCACUGAGGAAUCCUCUGUGUGUGUAUGUGUGUGUGUGUUAAUGAGCUGAUCUGGAAACAGUUUGACGCACUUCACCUGAUGGUCCUGAAGCAAAGAAGCUGCUGCUGCCCCCACCACCACACACAUCCCACAGCCCCUCCCUCGCCUACUGUUAAAGUCAAGUUGCUGUGGUGACGCAUCAGCACAAACAAACAGAAGAGCUACAAAGAGAACUCUGACUGGAUCUGCUCCUCCAAAUCUCAUGUCAGCAGCAGCAGCAGCACGAAGAGCUGCAGAACCGGGACCAGACCUCCAGGACCACCCUCCCCCAAUAUUAAAAGUGAUGACACAGAUGUUGCCCACCUGAACAAAGUGACCCAACAGAGGACAACUUCUCUCUCAUCCUUUGUUGCUCAUUGAGACCAAGUUACAUGGCUGACACUCUGGUUCUGGACCCUGUGGUGGACCUUUGAUCUUUCACCUCUACCCUCUGGUAUUAUUGCAAACUUCAGUUCAACAAGCGUCUCCUGUUCACUGCUUUCACCAGACCAAACCCGAGUCCUGAUCCAUUUCCAGGUCUGAGGGAGGUGAAGUCCCCUACCAGUAGGUGGAGCUGGAGCUCAACAAUACCUCCGGUCUGGACAAGUGACAUCUGGAGCCCUGCGUACAAAUAUGUGUCAUGGAACGUCACGCUGUUGCUGUUUAUGCCUCUAUCGAGUCAGAGCUUCUUCAUGUUGGACACCAUGGUGGCGAGUCAACUUUUCCACAGUGCAGCAACUUCUCUCGUCCUUUUCCAACUGUAAUUAUUGAAGACAACACUGAAGUUGAUUACCAUUCUCAAUCACCGACAUCCAGCCAAUCGCUUGUCUCUUCGCGGUCGCGCGCUCCAGCCAGUGCGCGCGACCUGACGUGAGACUUGUGGCGCGCAUUGACAGGAGCGCGGCACCGUUAGCCUCGCGCUGGUUCUCCUCCGAGUCUCCUCCGUUCUGCGCGUCCGUGUGGUUCUGGCCCGGGCUCUGGUCCACCUCCACCUCCUUCUCCUCCUCCUCCACGGUCGAACCUCAUCGCUUGCACCCGGUCCCAGAGCUCCGUGUUCCGCCCUGUCCGGACUCGUCUUCCCCUCUGGUUCGGCUCUCUCCGCUGACAUGGGUUCAGCUUCUGUGAUUCUGCUUCUGCUGUCAGUGAUGAAAGUCUCGACCGGAGCCCCGGAUGUUGAAGUGAUAGACAUGUUGAGUCUCCAGGACUCCAAACAGAGUGCAGCAGCGGUGGAGAAGAUGUCAGACGGACUGAGCACGCUCAGUGACCUUUACGUGGCGUCCACGCUCCGGGUGCCAGCCAAGCUUGGCGGCGUCCUGCUGGGAUUCUACAGCCGACAGGACAACAGAAAGUUCCUGGAGGUGGCUGUUAUGGGGAAGAUCAACAAAGUCCUGGUCCGUUAUGUGCGGGCGGACGGUAAGGUCCACACGGUGAACCUGCAGAAUGCCAACCUGGCGGACGGGCGGAGCCAUUCCAUCAUUCUGCGUGUGAGCGGCCUGCAGCGCGACACGCUUGGCAUGGAGCUCUACGUGGAUUGCAGACACGCCGACUCCAGCCAGGGUCUGCCGCAGCUGGUGCCGCUCCCCCGGGAGCCCGACCUGGUGGAGAUCCGGCACGGCCAGAAGGCCUAUGCCCGACUGCAGGGUGCAGUGGAUUCUCUCCGCGUGGCUUUAGGGGGCAGCGUUGCGAAAGCUGGCUCGCUGAUCGACUGUCCGUUUCAAGGCGACGCCACCAACUCCAACUCAGUGAGCGGUGAGCUGAACUCCAUCCUGGGUGACCACACCAAGGCUCUGAUUGGCCAGCUCAUCAUCUUUAACCAGAUCCUGGGCGAGCUGCGGCAGGACAUCAGAGAGCAGGUGAAGGAGAUGUCUCUGAUCAGGAACACCAUCCUGGAGUGUCAAGUCUGCGGCUUUCACGAGCCACGGUCCCGCUGCGCCCCCAACCCUUGCUACCCAGGCGUGCCCUGCAUGGAGAGCUUGCACUUCCCCGGCUACACCUGCGGACCCUGUCCACCCGGGACCUCUGGCAAUGGAACCCACUGCGAGGACGUGGACGAGUGUCAGCUCUACCCCUGCUUCUCCCCUGAGGCCUGUGUCAACACGAUCGGGGGCUUCAGCUGUCAGCCAUGCCCUCCUGGACUGUGGGGGGCGCCGCUGGUUGGGAGUGGUCUGGACUAUGCCAAGACACACAAGCAGGGUUGUGCGGACAUCGACGAGUGUGUGGAUCUGCCUGAGGCCUGCGUGGCCCACUCCGUCUGCAUCAACACAGUGGGCUCCUUCAAGUGCGGUGCCUGCAGACCUGGUUUCCGUGGAAACCAGACGGUUGGUUGUUUUCCUCGUCAGUCGUGUGCAACCUUGACCUUUAACCCCUGUGACACCAACGCACACUGUAGCAUGGAGAGGAACGGAGAGGUGUCAUGUCGGGUCAGUGGUGUGUGCAUGUGCCAGGCUGUGUGCUGUUCCCUUUGUGUAUCUCUGUUGUGUGUUCAGUGUAACGUGGGCUGGGCUGGCAACGGGAACACCUGUGGCGUGGACACCGACAUCGACGGCUACCCCGACCGCUCGCUGCCCUGCAUGGACAACAACAGACACUGUAAACAGGACAACUGUCUCCACACGCCCAACUCUGGCCAGGAGGACGCGGACCAGGAUGGCAUCGGAGACCAGUGUGAUGAGGACGCAGACGGAGACGGGAUCAAGAAUGUGGAGGACAACUGUCGUCUGGUGCCCAACAGAGACCAGCAGAACUCUGACAGCGACUCGUUUGGAGACGCCUGUGACAACUGUCCCAACGUCCCCAACAGCGACCAGAAAGACACGGACAGCAACGGGAAAGGAGACGCCUGCGACCAGGACAUCGACGGGGACGGGAUUCCAAACGUCUUGGACAACUGUCCGAGGGUCCCAAACCCCAUGCAAACUGACCGGGACAGAGACGGAGUUGGAGACGCAUGUGACAGCUGUCCAGAACUCAACAACCCCAUGCAGACAGACGUCGACGAUGACCUGGUGGGAGACGACUGCGACACCAACCAGGACUCGGACGGUGACGGCCACCAGGACAGCAGAGACAACUGCCCCGACAUCCCCAACAGCUCCCAGCUGGACUCAGACAAUGACGGGACGGGAGACGACUGUGACCACGACGACGACAACGACGGCGUCCUGGAUGACUACGACAACUGCCGACUCAUCGUCAACCCCAACCAGAAAGAUUCUGACAUGAACGGGGUGGGUGAUGUGUGUGAGCAUGACUUCGACAACGACGCAGUCAUGGACUUGGUUGACGCGUGUCCCGAGAGUGCUGAGGUGACCAUGACCGACUUCAGGGCAUACCAGACUGUUAUCCUGGAUCCAGAGGGCGACGCCCAGAUCGACCCAAAUUGGGUGGUCCUGAACCAGGGAAUGGAGAUUGUCCAGACCAUGAACAGUGACCCUGGUCUGGCUGUUGGUUAUACAGCUUUCAAUGGCGUGGACUUUGAGGGGACGUUCCACGUCAACACGGUGACGGAUGACGACUAUGCUGGCUUCAUCUUUGGGUACCAGGACUCAUCCAGCUUCUACGUGGUGAUGUGGAAGCAGACGGAGCAGUCCUACUGGCAAUCACUACCCUUCAGGGCCACGGCACAGCCAGCACUGCAGCUCAAGGCGGUGAAGUCCCAGACUGGGCCCGGGGAGUACCUGAGGAACGCUCUGUGGCACACAGGGGACACGCCCGGAGAGGUCAAGCUGCUCUGGAAGGAUCCUCGGAACGUUGGCUGGAAGGACAAGACCUCCUACCGCUGGCAGCUCAGUCACCGGCCGCAGGUUGGAUACAUCAGAGUGCGGCUGUUUGAAGGGGCAGAGCUUGUGGCGGACUCUGGCGUUCUGCUGGAUACAAGCAUGAGAGGCGGCAGGCUGGGCGUCUUCUGCUUCUCCCAGGAGAACAUCAUCUGGUCCAACCUGCGGUACCGCUGCAAUGACACGCUUCCUGAAGACUUCCAGUCUCAUCGCAAACAAGUUCUGAUGCACAUCCAGGUGUGACACGCACUCACACACGAGUGAACAGAGGACUCAAACUGGAGACUGGAGGUCUGGAUUUGGGCACUCGUCUUUUGACCUCUGACACAAGUUUGAACUGCACAUGAGGCAGAAGACUGUCCUGGGCACAAGUGACCUGCAGAAACAACAUCUCUCUUGAUGGUGGUCUCUGAUGAAGGUCUCUCUGUCUGUGGACCUUAUUUUGUGAUGAUGCAACUCCUUGGAGGUCAGCAGAGGUCACGACCCUGGGGUCGGGGAGGCCGG